rnacentral:misc_RNA from 1 species
AAGUCGUAACAAGGUCUCCGUAGGUGAACCUGCGGAGGGAUCAUUAACACGUUUUUAUUAACGUUCCCACCAAACAAAAGGAAACGAAAGAGGAGGAAAGUGACAACGAUCCAAAUCUUAGCUAAGCUCCCUACCAACGUACGUGUACAGAAGUAGGCUAUUCUUUUAUUAACCCCUUUCCAACUAGAUUUUGAGAUUCUCUCAAGAUCGACUAACUUGCCCUGUAUCUAGUAGUGUAGGAAUUGAUAAUAAUAAUUAAUUUUAUUAAUUUUAUUCUUUUUUCCUUUCCCUUCUAGCUUGAUAUUUAAAUGCAAAGCACAACUCUUAGCAACGGAUAUCUUGGUUCUC